rnacentral:rRNA from 1 species
AGUGAACGCUGGCGGUAGGCCUAACACAUGCAAGUCGAACGGCAGCACAGUAAGAGCUUGCUCUUACGGGUGGCGAGUGGCGGACGGGUGAGGAAUACAUCGGAAUCUACUUUUUCGUGGGUGAUAACGUAGGGAAACUUACGCUAAUACCGCAUACGACCUACGGGUGAAAGCAGUGGAUCUUCGGACCUUUCGCGAUUGAAUGAGCCGAUGUCGGAUUAGCUAGUUGGCGGGGUAAAGGCCCACCAAGGCGACGAUCCGUAGCUGGUCUGAGAGGAUGAUCAGCCACACUGGAACUGAGACACGGUCCAGACUCCUACGGGAGGCAGCAGUAGGGAAUAUUGGACAAUGGGCGCAAGCCUGAUGCAGCCAUACCGCGUGGGUGAAGAAGGCCUUCGGAUUGUAAAGCCCUGUUGUUGGGAAAGAAAAGCAGCAGGUUAAUACCCCGCUGUUCUGACGGUACCCAAAGAGUAAGCACCGGCUAACUUCGUG